UAUCACUUAAGUCUGAAGGACGUCAAACCAGCUCAGCAAAAACAGGAUUAACGGUCGCAUUCACCGAGCAGAGCAUUGAGUAAGAGUGCCGCCGGCCUUUACAUAGAUAUGCACGGCAUGGGGGGCAUUUUUUCCGCCACGGUUCUUGGUACUGGAAGGGUCUGCUCUGUUGCACAAGAGGGCCUUGGAGAGAAUUAAAUGUAUCAAGUGCUUUCCUAGAAAAAUGCAGCAAGACUGCCUGCCAGCUGGUCGGAUGUCAGUGUCCAAGCCCGGCUGCCGAGAUCACCGCGGAUGAGUCAUGAGUUCAUGUUUUCAAUCAUUUCCCCCUGAAGAGACCUCCAUUAUCAAAGGUCGAAACGUGUCGGGGUUUCUAGUACAAGUCUACUUUUUUGUUACAUGAACUCACAUAGUUGUAUUUAUGUAUCUACUUUUAAAUCGCAUUUUGGAACUAAUAAAUUAUUUCUUGAACUUUGGAA